rnacentral:rRNA from 1 species
CCUACGGGGCGCAGCAGUGAGGAAUAUUGGUCAAUGGACGGAAGUCUGAACCAGCCAUGCCGCGUGCAGGAAGACGGCUCUAUGAGUUGUAAACUGCUUUUGUACAAGGGUAAACCUGAAUACGUGUAUUCAGCUGAAAGUACUGUACGAAUAAGGAUCGGCUAACUCCGUGCCAGCAGCCGCGGUAAUACGGAGGAUCCAAGCGUUAUCCGGAUUUAUUGGGUUUAAAGGGUGCGUAGGCGGAUUGGUAAGUUAGAGGUGAAAUGUCCGAGCUUAACUCGGGAACUGCCUCUAAUACUGUUGAUCUAGAGAGUAGAUGCGAUAGGCGGAAUGUAUGGUGUAGCGGUGAAAUGCUUAGAGAUCAUACAGAACACCGAUUGCGAAGGCAGCUUACCAAUCUAUAUCUGACGUUGAGGCACGAAAGCGUGGGGAGCGAACAGGAUUAGAUACCCCAGUAGUC